UAGGGAAUCUUCCGCAAUGGACGAAAGUCUGACGGAGCAACGCCGCGUGAGUGAAGAAGGCUUUCGGUUCGUAAAACUCUGUUGUUAGGGAAGAAAAAAUGUAUAGUAACUAUAUACAAAAGAGACGGUACCUAACCAGAAAGCCACGGCUAACUACGUGCCAGCAGCCGCGGUAAUACGUAGGUGGCAAGCGUUGUCCGGAAUUAUUGGGCGUAAAGCGCGCGCAGGUGGUUUAGAAAGUCUGAUGUGAAAGCCCACGGCUCAACCGUGGAGGGUCAUUGGAAACUAAUAAACUUGAGUGCAGGAGAGAAAAGUGGAAUUCCUAGUGUAGCGGUGAAAUGCGUAGAGAUUAGGAGGAACACCGGUGGCAAAAGCGGCUUUUUGGCCUGCAACUGACACUGAGGCGCGAAGGCGUGGGGAGCAAACAGG
rnacentral:rRNA from 1 species